rnacentral:rRNA from 1 species
GUCAACGUCCAUGCCACCCUGAACAAGCCCAAUCCCGUCUGAUCUCAGAAGCUAAGCAGGGUUGGGCCUGGUUGGUACUUAGAUGGAAGACCACCUAGGAAGACCAGGCACUGUAGGCA